CACGUCUAAGGUGACUGCCGGCUAAAAGUCGGAGGAAGGUGGGGAUGACGUCAAAUCAUCAUGCCCCUUAUGACCUGGGCUACACACGUGCUACAAUGGGCGGUACAAAGGGUCGCGAACCCGCGAGGGGGAGCCAAUCCCAAAAAAGCCGCUCUCAGUUCGGAUUGCAGGCUGCAACUCGCCUGCAUGAAGCCGGAAUCGCUAGUAAUCGCGGAUCAGCAUGCCGCGGUGAAUACGUUCCCGGGCCUU
rnacentral:rRNA from 1 species